UAAAUAAACCUUAGAAAAAUAGGUUUGAAAAAUCAGAGGGAAUAAUCAUUAUUGAUAACUAAUAUAACACCGUAACUUAGUAAGAGGUUCUGUUAAUCGUAUGAGCUAGAAAAUAGGUUUGAAAAAUCAGAGGGAAUAAUCAUUAUUGAUAACUAAUAUAACACCGUAACUUAGUAAGAGG